rnacentral:rRNA from 1 species
CCUACGGGGGGCUGCAGUGGGGAAUAUUGGACAAUGGGGGCAACCCUGAUCCAGCCAUGCCGCGUGUGUGAAGAAGGCCCUCGGGUUGUAAAGCACUUUCAGUGAGGAAGAACGCCUGGUGGUUAAUACCCAUCAGGAAAGACAUCACUCACAGAAGAAGCACCGGCUAACUCCGUGCCAGCAGCCGCGGUAAUACGGAGGGUGCGAGCGUUAAUCGGAAUUACUGGGCGUAAAGCGCGCGUAGGUGGCUUGAUAAGCCUGUUGUGAAAGCCCCGGGCUCAACCUGGGAACGGCAUCCGGAACUGUCAAGCUAGAGUGCAGGAGAGGAAGGUAGAAUUCCCGGUGUAGCGGUGAAAUGCGUAGAGAUCGGGAGGAAUACCAGUGGCGAAGGCGGCCUUCUGGACUGACACUGACACUGAGGUGCGAAAGCGUGGGUAGCAAACAGGAUUAGAUACCCCAGUAGUC